rnacentral:rRNA from 1 species
UACGGGGGGGGCAAGCGUUGUUCGGAAUUACUGGGCGUAAAGGGCUCGUAGGCGGCCAACUAAGUCAGACGUGAAAUCCCUCGGCUUAACCGGGGAACUGCAUCUGAUACUGGAUGGCUUGAGAUUGGGAGAGGGAUGCGGAAUUCCAGGUGUAGCGGUGAAAUGCGUAGAUAUCUGGAGGAACACCGGUGGCGAAAGCGACUUCCUGGACCAAUACUGACGCUCAUGUGCGAAAGCGUGGGGAGCAAACAGG